rnacentral:rRNA from 1 species
GACGGAGGGUGCAAGCGUUAAUCGGAAUUACUGGGCGUAAAGCGUGCGCAGGCGGUUUGGAAAGAAAGAUGUGAAAUCCCAGGGCUCAACCUUGGAACUGCAUUUUUAACUACCGGGCUAGAGUGUGUCAGAGGGAGGUGGAAUUCCGCGUGUAGCAGUGAAAUGCGUAGAUAUGCGGAGGAACACCGAUGGCGAAGGCAGCCUCCUGGGAUAACACUGACGCUCAGGCACGAAAGCGUGGGGAGCAAACAGG